AUUUCAUUUGGCACAGCAGCUAUCCUGAACAUGAAGGCAAACGUUCCUUAUUCAUUUUCACACACACACCACACAGCCUUUAAAAUGUACAGACCAAGCUCAUAUUUGCCUUAGGGGAUAAGCACAACAGAUCCAGAUGUUUUCCUAUUCUCAAGGUCUUCGUGUGCCUGUACUGCUUGAGACAAUGGGUAGGUGUGAUUUACUCGAACCCGCAAUACACCUGAUUGAACAUUACCAAAUACCUCUCCCGCCAUCCCUAGCAAUUCGUCUCGAGUUACAGCGUAAUGAAAGAGGCUAGGCCUAGUCAAGAACAGUGACUUCACUGCAAUGGCUGACAAUGGAACCGGAUCUGGCGCACCUGAUGACUGCCCAAAACUCACCAUGUAUCCACGAGUCUUCAAGCAUGCCAGUGAUCCCUGAAUACAACAAUAACUCCCAAUUAAGGAUUCUCAGUCCAAAACACAAAUUAGCAAAAGACUGCCUACCCAGAACUCAUUAUCUACCAGAUUAUGUUGAUCUGGGAGACCAGUUGGGCUUGCAACAUUUGAAUAAAUCACGCCACAACACACUUAUUUGAGGAGGUCUUUUCUUCUUCUCUUUUAAUUACUGAUUACCAACCGUUUGCACUACCACAAUCACAAUGCAACUAACUUUAGGGUCUAUUAGGGAAGAGUGAUUUCAGGUCUAAGAAUUUAGUAAAUAAAAUAUAGCUAGAUUGACUGAUCCGACAUAAAAGUCUUUUGUCAAAAUCCAACUCCUAACUUUAAAGCAUUCCAUCUGAAUGGACCCCCUCAUCUUUUAAAAAAUUCAUAAACCUGGCUCAAAUUAAAAAAACAACUGAUUUCAUAGGCCUGGUCUAGCAUUGAGAAACUUCUGCACCAUGUUAAGAGGAAGCCUACUCAAAUGUACUCAUGCAGAAUUUGAACAUGGUAUGAUCUCUCCCUAAACUCCCUUGAUUGUGUUUUUGUUCAUUUGUAGAAAAAAGAGAGAAGAAAAGUAUAGCUUACCUCAAAAGUAUCCUUCCCUACAGAAUCAUAAACAACCUCAACCCCAUUGUCAGAUGUUAUUUCUUUCACUCGAGCAACAAAGUCCUCUUCCUUAUAGAUUAUGACAUGGUGACAUCCAUCCUCCUUGGCUUGAGCUGCCUUCUCUUUAGUAGAUACAGUUCCAAUGACAGUGGCACCAAGGGAAUUAGCCCACUGGCAUAAAAGGGAUCCAACUCCACCAGCUGCUGCAUGGACGAGGACUGUGUGUCCAGGUUCAACCUGUAUAACAACACUCAAGUCAGACCUAAUAACAAAAGCAACAUAAGUUUCAAAUUUUUGAAACAUAUAUAACAUUAGGAAAGAGGAUGGGCUAUGUUAAGCAUACAAUUGUAGAAUGAACCCAAAUUAAGAUUGAAGCACUUAGUUGAUUACACGUUGCUGGUUUACAAUACAGCUUGUUUUUUAGGGUGUACUAUCUUAAUGGUUUGGACAUUUUACUCAUUGAAUUCAUACUUAGUUGUUACGUUUUUUUUUUUUUUUCCAGAGAUUGUCCAGUGGAACAGAAUCAACAAGUGCGCCACAAAUGAAAAAGUGAAAGAGAACAAGAAUGGUAGUUUUAUCUUACAUCAGAUAAUGACAGGACAUGUUUUUAAAAUUUAUAGUCUCAAAGGAACAAAUAUAAAUAGGGAAGGAGAGAGAGAGAGCUCCUCAACUCCCAUGAGUGCUCAUGAUUAACAAAUGAAAAAGUCUAACUCAAACACAACUGAGCAUACUUUGUCAAAACAGGGGCAAUUCUGCCCAAAAAGUUUUACAAUGACCACAAAAAAGAUCAAAACAGUAUUAACAGUUAUGAAUAUUCUCCUUGACAGGAAAACUAAUAGGUGCAUGCUAAUAGCUCUAUAAAAAUGUUUUGCAAUGCCACACGCAUAUUCAAGGAAUACUAAAACUAGCAUGGCCUAAAAUAUCACAACCAGGAUGUCGUUAUCUUGUGUUUUGUAAUUCAAAUUAUCUUCAUUUAUAGACUUGAUGAGUGGAUAAUGACUUUCUGAAAUUCCAGAUGCUGCUGCAUAAAUAUAAAGCUACCUUGAAACAGCUGCGUAGUAGAAACUGAGCUGUCAUACCCUUGAGCAAGAGGGAUGCAGCAACAGUAGGAUCAAUGGAAGGAGGAACAGGCACAACUCUGUUUGCAGGAAGGAUCUGCUCUUCAGCAUAUGAGCCCAUUGGCUGACCAGCAUAGGCUACAAGAUCUCCAACUUGCCUGCCUGUUAGUCCUGGUCCGACAGCUGUCACAACUCCACAAGCCUCAACACCUGAAAUCAGUUUGGAUUUGUAAAUAAAUUGUGUAAAUCCAUUAUCAAAGCCCAACCAAGUUUUAGAUGUAAAUAUAUACAAUAAAUCUAACAAUGGAAAUCGUUAUCUGAUGUCAUGCUCUGCAUUCUUGUAUUAGGUUGUAUUGGGUUCAAAAAAUAUACUCCCAUGGUAAAGGUUUAUUCGAGAAAACUGGGAAGAAAAACCAAAGUUUUUUAAUAUAACAUGAAGUCAAAAAUGGCUACAAGUCAAUCUUGGUUGAACUGUAUCUUCAUAAUCUUAGAAAUGCAGCAAAACCUGGGGUGUAGGGAACCGUAGCAGCCUUAUAAACGCCUUUGCGGAAGUAUACAUCAAUGAAAUUAAUCCCAAUGGCCUUGUUCUUCACACGGACCUCUCCCUCCUUUGGCUCUCCUACUUCCACAUCUUCCCAUUUCAAGACCUAACACCAUCAAAUGACAAAAAUAAGUAAAAUGACGAUGAAAGUAAGGGAACAAUGGCAUUUAGCUGACAAAGAUGAGAGGUCAAAGACAAAUUACAACAAAGAUAAAUUUUCUUUAAGAAAACUAGACAUAAACUGAUACUGCCUUACCCACAAAAAAGCAAUGGAUACUGAGUAAUCAGUGUCAAAAACUAUAUAUUGUUUUCUGAUCUGCUGGCCGACUUAUGUGAAGGAUUAUUUAUGAAGACACUUGAUACACUAUAUACAAACUGUGAAUUGAAUUCACCAAUCUCAAAUACUUCAACACUAAUAGAAAUAAAGACAAGUAACCAGUAAUUAUAUACAAGUGAGUUUUGAUCAUCUGAUAAAAAUAAAAAGCACAACCCAAUAGCCGGCCAAUUCAAACAUAAAAGCAUAUGUAUGGAAACAGAGAGAGAGAGAGAGAGAGAGAGAGAGAGAGAGACCUCAGGUCCACCAAGCUCAUGGACUCGAAUGGCUUUGACCAUCUUUGCUGCUGGUGGUGAUGCUGAUUCAGUGGCAAGUGCUCUAACUACUGAUUUACGGGUCCUAAGUGUAAAGGGUAAACACUUAAUCUGUGAAAAAUGUCUCGAAUUUGGAAUGAAAUGGUAUGAAGCACACAGCAAUUGUGCUGAACGAUGGUUCUGGAAUCUUAGUCUGAUUGGAAGUAGACCCAUUUACCUUACUGAUUUGAUCCUUGAUUUGUCCGACAUUGGAAUUGUACGAGGCUGGAAAUGAGGCUAGGUGAAGAAAAAGAGACUCAAAGGCCCACAUCACAGGAAUAAAAGACUUCCUUAAUCAUAUGGUCCUUUCUUGGGCCUAUUGGGCUCAUUUCAUACGUUCUGAAGCCCAUACAUGAUGAUUUUGGACCCAAAUAUAACCCACAUUGAUCAUAUGCUUCAAAUAACCCAAAAAUAAUAAAAUGUACCUAACACUAAAACUAACGCAAAUGUUUCUCUUUCGUCCGAAAAAAAACACACACACACACAAUUGGCUUACGUCACUCUUCUAUUCCUUAUAAUAGCUGCAUUCAUAAAACUUUAGUGUUUCGACAUAUAUAAUAAUAUAUUACUUCUCUCCAAAAAUAUAUAUAUUAAUUUGUCCAAUUUUAAUUAACGUCAGGUAAAAUGUACCAAACAUGCAUCUUGUUCCGGCAGACCAGUGAGGGCGGUCAUCGCGGACUUUUGCCCUGGAGGACCUUGUGCAUCCAGUUUUUCUUGUUUUUAUUGCUAGCUUAACAAAGUCUCUUGAUGACUGCGGUUUGAGACAUCCAUUUCAUUUGGCACAGCAGCUAUCCUGAACAUGAAGGCAAACGUUCCUUAUUCAUUUUCACAUACACACCACGUAGUCUUUUAAAUUGAACAGACCAAACUCAUAUUUGCAUUAGGGGAUAAGCACAACAGAUCCAGAUGUUUUCCUAUUCUCAAGGUCUUCGUGUGCCUGUGCUGCUUGAGACAAUGGGUAGGUGUGAUUUACUCGAACCCGCAAUACACCUGAUUGAACAUUACCAAAUACCUCUCCCGCCAUCCCUAGCAAUUCAUCUCGAGUUACAGCGUAAUUAAAGAGUCUAGGCCUAGUCAAGAACAGUGACUUCACUGCAAUGGCUGACAAUGGAACCGGAUCUGGCG
rnacentral:lncRNA from 1 species